rnacentral:misc_RNA from 1 species
GAAAUGCGAUACGCAAUGCGAAUUGCAGAAAUCCGCGAGUCAUCAGAUCUUUGAACGCAAGUGGCGCUGGUGUAAUAACCAGUAUGUUUGUUUCAGUGUGUUCAGGAAUCCAAAAUCUAAAUGUGAUUGAAGAGUUGUAAUAAUACUUUUCUCUCAUUAAACAAGGCAACGCUUGAAUGCGUUCACCGAACGAAGUAGUCACAUUUCUAAUGUGAUCUCGUUAGGUAUGAACAAAUUCAAUUAAAAGUGAUGCGAAUUAUACAACCCCUAUUGACACCUGAAAUCAAGCAAGGUCACCCGCUGAACUUAA